AUACGUAGGUGGCAAGCGUUAUCCGGAAUUAUUGGGCGUAAAGAGGGAGCAGGCGGCAGCAAGGGUCUGUGGUGAAAGCCUGAAGCUUAACUUCAGUAAGCCAUAGAAACCAGGCAGCUAGAGUGCAGGAGAGGAUCGUGGAAUUCCAUGUGUAGCGGUGAAAUGCGUAGAUAUAUGGAGGAACGCCAGUGGCGAAGGCGACGAUCUGGCCUGCAACUGACGCUCAGUCCCGAAAGCGUGGGGAGCAAAUAGGAUUAGAUACCCUAUUAGUCCACGCCGUAAACGAUGAGUACUAAGUGUUGGAUGUCAAAGUUCAGUGCUGCAGUUAACGCAAUAAGUACUCCGCCUGAGUAGUACGUUCGCAAGAAUGAAACUCAAAUGAAUUGACGGGG
rnacentral:rRNA from 1 species